AUUGAACGCUGGCGGCAUGCCUUACACAUGCAAGUCGAACGGCAGCACGGGAGUAAUCCUGGUGGCGAGUGGCGAACGGGUGAGUAAUAUAUCGGAACGUGCCCAGUCGUGGGGGAUAACGCAGCGAAGGCUGUGCUAAUACCGCAUACGAUCUAAGGAUGAAAGCGGGGGAUCGCAAGGCCUCGCGCGAUUGGAGCGGCCGAUAUCAGAUUAGCUAGUUGGUGGGGGAAAGGCCCACCAAGGCGACGAUCUGUAGCUGGUCUGCGAGGACGACCAGCCACACUGGAACAGAGACACGGUCGAGACUCCUACGGGAAGCAGCGGUGGGGAAUGUUGGACAAGGGGCGCAAGCCUGAUACAGCAAUGCCGCGUGCAGGAUGAAGGCCUUCGGGUUGUAAACUGCUUUUGUACGGAACGAAACGGCCCUUUCUAAUACAGGGGGCUAAUGACGGUACCGUAAGAAUAAGCACCGGCUAACUACGUGCCAGCCGCCGCAGUAACAC
rnacentral:rRNA from 1 species